CCAGAUGGCAGAAUGAUCACACUAGGAACUUAUUCAUUUAUUUAUGUUAGAUAUAUAAUCUAAAUUUAAUAUACUUUCUCUGGAAAAGUUUCUUACGUUUGUCUUCAUAAGAAAAGGGAUACAUAUUUUAAAAAGGCGCGAAAGCAUAUAAAGCAAACAGAAUGAUAGAAAAUAACAUAUCUAGUGAAAGUGAUGAAGGAGAAAUAAAAUCUGAUUUUGAAGCGGAUUUCCAAGAAGAACUACAUAAUUUUCCCCAUAUUUUAAGAUUUAUUCAAAGAAUGCGCGAUCACAUUAAAAAACAAAACAAAAAGAUUGCCAAAUUACGAAAUAAACUCAGUGAACAUAAAAUUAAAAAAUUAAUGGAAAAGAAAACCUUAAUUGACUAUGGAACUCAAACGAAUCCAUUAGAAUAUGAAAAAGAAUCAUGCCAGGAUUGGAAUGUUAAUAAUGAUAAAACAUCAACUAGUAUUAUACAACAAGUUAAAGAAGUAGCUGAGUCUGCUUUGUUGCAAACUGGUUUUGUCUAUGAAGAAACUUCUGGUUUAUAUUAUGAUUACAACAGUGGAUAUUAUUAUGAUGCAAAACAAGGUUUAUAUUAUGAUGGUAAUACAGGUACAUAUUACUAUUAUGAUGAAACUAGUGGAACAUAUCAAUUCCAUAGUCAUGCACAAGUAACUGUGAAUGAAGCAGCUGUACAUGUGAAAAGCAAGAAGGAGCAGAAAACUAGAAAGACAACCAAGGAUGACGGGAAAAAACGCAAACUUGCGGAAAGAGAAGAACCGUCGGAAGAUGAACUUGAGGAGGGUGAAUGUUCAAGCAAUGAUAGUGACAGCAAUUCUAAUGACAUUACUCCAGAAUUAUGUACUAGUAGUGACAGUGACCACGAGGAAGAUCAAGAUUUAGCGAAAACCUAUCCCCCAUGCAUGAGAAUCAUAGUUAAGGAAACCAAUUUAUCAAAAUUAAAAAUUGGAAGUCUCUUUUUUGUUGCAUAUACUGGUGGUUCAAUUGGUCGUGAAGGUGAUCAUUCUGUAGUAAUACCAGAUAUAAAUAUAAGUAAACAUCAUGCCCGUAUUUUAUAUAAUGAAGAUAAAAAAAUAUACGAAGUCAUUGAUUUAGGAUCAAGAAAUGGCACGUUCUUAAAUGGUAAAAGAUUGUCUGUGGCUAAGCAAGAAUCUGAACCUCAUGAAGUUUCACAUGGUUCGAUUAUACAAGUUAGUACUACGAAAUUGUUGUGUCACAUUCAUAAUGGAAAUGAAACUUGUGGCCACUGUGAGCCAGGACUUGUUCAGCAAAGCAUUAACGCAGAAGAGAACAAAGCUUCUAAAAAAGACCAACACAAACAAGAAUUGAGACGGCUGAAGCAUAAGUUUGGCGUAGAAAAAGAUAAUGUCGCAAGUGCUAGUCAAUUAGCAUUGGGGUACCAAGACAGAGCGCAAAAUCGAAGACAGUGCAUUGGUUCUUUGAAUCAUCAUGCUAAAACACAACAAAGUUCAAUGGAUAUAUCUAUAGCAAAAGACAACAGGGGAUUUAAACUGCUAUCAAAAAUGGGCUGGUCUGAGGGACAAUCCUUAGGGAAGGAAAGAGAUGGACCAACUGAACCGGUACCUUUGACGAAUAAUCCGAGCAAAACCGGUCUCGGCGCAACCAGCGAAUUUCCUACAAUCGAGCUAGAUUCUACGACGGAAAAGAAGCAGGCGUUGUGGCGAAAGACCCAGCAACGUUACAAAGAAAUAACCGACCAUGCGAAAUAAUUGCACCGUGAACGUUUGUCGGGAAAAACGCUUGAUUUGCAUUGCACGCGCUUUUUCAUCGUCUGUCACGCUGGACCAGCUGCAUAAAUCUGCUACAGCGUUAGAAACGAAGAAACGCUAACGUUGAAAUAAUAUCGUGACGGUAAACGAGACAAUUUCUUUGCAACGAAAUCGUCCAUUCGGGUCGUGAUCCUGGCACUCGUAUUAUGUAAAUCGCCGCGCGACAAAGUUCGUUAAAGGUCUUCGAAGUAUGCUGUUGACUUACAUCACGAUGCCAAGAAGUGCAUCGAUUUUGAGUUAAUGUUACGGUGGAUCUGAUAUGUGAAAUUAUGAAGAUUGGUUCACAUGCAUAAUACAUACUGCACAAAGAGGAGAAGAACGAAGGGGAACAACAGCAGGCGAAAUCGCAAGAAGAAGAAGAAGUAAAAGAAGCCAAGAAGAAAAAUAAAUAGAAGAAUAAGAGAUAAAAGGAGCGAAGAAGAUCAGUGGUUCUUUUGUUCGGAUUCCUCUUCUUGUUCACCGAAUUUAUUGCAUGACCAAUCAUUGGACUCCCUUUUGCACAGCCACGGAAACGUUCUUGGGUUGCAGCAAGUUUCUGCUCGCAACUCGGCCUGUUACUCUCGCGUUUGCGGAGACGGUUAUAUGUAAAUGAGGAACAGAGAACUCGUAGCGAAGAUCGAAGUAAGACCGCGACCGACCAUUCCAAGGGCAUGUUUAAGGUCCAAAGAACGUUGCAACCGGACGAAAUAUUAAAUAUUAAUCGUCGUAUGAAACUUCCUUACGGCAGAUACAUCGGCUCGUGAACGGGGUUGUACCAAGUUUUUAUGGGCGCAUCGAAGUAAGUCGUAUGUCGACGAAGUUCGACAAGACAAUGGGGAUUAAAGAAUUUCUCAUAAGGAUUCCAUACGAUGCAGGAAUUUUUUGUAUCGAAGAUCGUAUAAUAUUGUGCCUAUACUUUGAUACUAGAAUUAUCGGUAACUACAAGAGUAUGAACGUUUUACCAAAGGAAUCGAAGUGGAAGAUACACAGUGGAAUACAUUAGAAACAGCUAUAUGGUGCUUCUCGCGCAAAACGCAUUACGUAAACGAGAAAUCUAUGGUGAAUUAAGAAGAGGAACGCGUCUAGACAGAAGAUCUUAAAAAGGAACGUUUGUUUCCCUUUGCAGCGACGAGUUCUUCUCGAAGGCAGAGGAUAGGAAAGAAAGAAGAACGAAUGAAACGGGAUCCGUAUUGAGAUUUCUUGAGUUCUGCUAUAAAAGGCAGAUCGUCAUGGAGGAAAUUCGGUUCGAAUCGCUAGAAUUUCAUUGCACGGUGCAUUAAAAUGAUGGGUUCGUUCAACUGUGUUUACCUUCCAUUGCAACUUUGUGACAUUGUCCAACGUUUUAUCUUGCCUUUAUUUAUACGCGUCCCUUCGGACGCUUCUCAAGCUGAAAAGAAACCAAUUCCAUUCUGGAUUCAAUCUUUUGUCGCGAAAAAGUUUCUUGGAAGCAGUUUAAAAAGAUAAUUCGUAAAUUUUUACGAUGUUCAGGCUUUCUUUAGCCUUUUAACACUGCUGUUACUUUGUUUUAUAGCAGAUUCUCCUCUUUUCUUGCGAAAACGAGAAGUUUUAUUACUCUCUUAGUUGUGAAGUAUAAUAGCGAUAGUGAUUGCGUUUUAUAUUCCUUGAUGUUUCGUGAUGAAAAUGUUGAUAUAUUUUUAAGAGUAUUUUUUUACGAGUAGAAAGUUUCGCAAUAAAUUAUUUCUUUGCGUUAA